rnacentral:rRNA from 1 species
ACGGAAGGCAGCAGUGGGGGAUAUUGGUCAAUGGGGGCAACCCUGAACCAGCGACGCCGCGUGAGUGAAGAAGUAUUUCGGUAUGUAAAGCUCUAUCAGCAGGGAAGAAAAAAUCAAAAUUGACAGUACCUGACUAAGAAGCCCCGGCUAACUACGUGCCAGCAGCCGCGGUAAUACGUAGGGGGCAAGCGUUAUCCGGAUUUACUGGGUGUAAAGGGAGCGCAGGCGGUACGGCAAGUCUGAUGUGAAAGCCCGGGGCUCAACCCCGGUACUGCAUUGGAAACUGUCGGACUAGAGUGUCGGAGGGGUAAGUGGAAUUCCUAGUGUAGCGGUGAAAUGCGUAGAUAUUAGGAGGAACACCAGUGGCGAAGGCGGCUUACUGGACGAUCACUGACGCUGAGGCUCGAAAGCGUGGGGAGCAAACAGGAUUAGAUACCCUGGUA